GCUGAGCACAUUGGCUCGUGCCUGUAAUCCCAGCUGCUCAGGAGGCUGAGGCAGGAGCAUCUCAAGUGUGAGGCCAGACCAGGCAACUUAGAUAGACCCUGCCUCAA
rnacentral:sRNA from 1 species